rfam:Populus trichocarpa isolate Nisqually-1 chromosome 10, whole genome shotgun sequence.
UCUAGAACUCGAGAUAUGGGCUGAACACUGAACAGUGUCUGGGCUGCAGGACAUAUUCAGACUUCUCUGUUGUUGCUGCAAUUUGGACUUGAAAACGGCCUUUUUACAUCUUGGACUCCGCAUGAAAGUUUUAGGCCUAUGUCUUAGCUUUCCAUC